rnacentral:rRNA from 1 species
UACAGAGGUCUCAAGCGUUGUUCGGAUUCAUUGGGCGUAAAGGGUGCGUAGGCGGCGCGGUAAGUCGGGUGUGAAAUCUCGGAGCUUAACUCCGAAACCGCAUUCGAUACUGCCUUGCUUGAGGACUGGAGAGGAGACUGGAAUUUACGGUGUAGCGGUGAAAUGCGUAGAUAUCGUAAGGAAGACCAGUGGCGAAGGCGGGUCUCUGGACAGUUCCUGACGCUGAGGCACGAAGGCCAGGGGAGCAAACGGG